rnacentral:rRNA from 1 species
UCCGGUGGUGAUGGCGGAGGGGUCACACCCGAUUCCAUUCCGAACUCGGAAGUUAAGCCCUCCAGCGCCGAUGGUACUGCACGGGCCACUGUGUGGGAGAGUAGGUCGCCGCCGGAU